rnacentral:rRNA from 1 species
AUGCGAGGGCGCUCUCGGCGGCGGGGUGGUGCUGCGCGUCGGAGGCCAGGGCGCUCUCGGCGGCGGGGUGGUGCUGCGCGUCGGAGGCCAGGGCGCUCUCGACGGCGGGGUGGUGCUGCGCGUCAAAGGCGUGGUUGCUCAUGGCGAUGGCGUCGAGGACCUCGCCGGCGUCGGCGUCGGCGUCGGCCAUGGGCACGUCGUCGUCGCUUGACAUGCAAAUGCAGAGAGUGGGUUUGCGUUGGGUAG